rnacentral:rRNA from 1 species
GACCAGACUCCUACGGGAGGCAGCAGUGGGGAAUAUUGCACAAUGGGGGAAACCCUGAUGCAGCGACGCCGCGUGGGCGACGAAGCGCUCCGGCGCGUAAAGCCCUGUCAGCAGGGAAGAAAAAAGACAGUACCUGACCAAGAAGCCCCGGCUAACUACGUGCCAGCAGCCGCGGUAAUACGUAGGGGGCAAGCGUUAUCCGGAUUCACUGGGCGUAAAGGGGGCGCAGACGGCGAUGCAAGCCAGGAGUGAAAGCCCGGGGCCCAACCCCGGGACUGCUCUUGGAACUGCGUGGCUGGAGUGCAGGAGGGGCAGGCGGAAUUCCUGGUGUAGCGGUGAAAUGCGUAGAUAUCAGGAGGAACACCGGUGGCGAAGGCGGCCUGCUGGACUGCAACUGACGUUGAGGCCCGAAAGCGUGGGGAGCAAACAGGAUUAGAUACCCCAGUA